AGUGAACGCUGGCGGUAGGCCUAACACAUGCAAGUCGAACGGCAGCACAGUAAGAGCUUGCUCUUACGGGUGGCGCGUGGCGGACGGGUGAGGAAUACAUCGGACUCUACUUUUUCGUGGGGGAUAACGUAGGGAAACUUAUGCUAAUACCGCAUACGACCUACGGGUGAAAGCAGGGGAUCUUCGGACCUUGUGCGAUUGAAUGAGCCGAUGUCGGCUUAGCUAGUUGGCGGGGUAAAGGCACACCACGGCGACGAUCCGAAGCUGGUCUGAGAGGAAGUUCAAGCAGAUGGGCACUGAGACACGGUCCAGACUCCUACACGGAGCAGCAGUGGGGAAUAUUGGGCAAUGGGCGCAAGCCGGAUCCAGCCAUACCGCGUGGGUGAAGAAGGCGUUCGGGUGGGAAAGCCCUUUUGUUGGGAAAAAAAAGCAGCAGGUUAAUACCCCGCUGUCCUGACGGUACCCAAAGAAUAAGCACCGGCUAACUUCGUG
rnacentral:rRNA from 1 species